GUAACGGCGAGUGAAGCGGGAAAAGCUCAAACUUAAAAUCGGGAAGCCCUGCGGCUUUUCGAAUUGUAGUCUAAAGAGGUAACAUCAGUGUGCGUCCUGGGUAUAACUCCUUUGGAACAGGGGAUCAUAGAGGGUGAGAAUCCCGUCUGUGACUCAGAGUACGCCACGUACGAUGUGCCUUCAACGAGUCGAGUUGUUUGGGAUUGCAACUCUAAAUGGGUGGUAAACUUCAUCUAAAGCUAAAUACUGGCGAGAGACCGAUAGUGAACAAGUACCGUGAGGAAAGGUGAAAAGAACUUUGAAAAGAGAGUUAAAAAGUACUUGAAAUUGUUAAGAGGAAAGCGAUGAAAACUAGAUGUUUAAAGCUGGCGGUUAUACUUAACCUUUGGUGGCUGAGGAAGCUGCGGUGGCGAGUGGUAAAACCUCUCACCGUGGUUUGGACAGUUGUUGGGGUGUUCUGUAGCCGUUGGUGAGUCGGCGUCGCUUUGGAUCUUGGGAGAAGGCCUGCUGCUUCUGCUGCUUCGGUUUACGAGCUGGGGUAGAGAGGUGUGGGUGAUACCAGGGACUGGAGUGAGGUAAAAAUAAUCCGCCCGCAAGGUGUGGCUCUGUUGUGUCGCUUUAUGGUAGGGUCUUGGGACAGAAAUGUGCCGGAUCUGCGCUGUGGUGCACAUGGCAGUUCGCUCUCUGCGGAU
rnacentral:rRNA from 1 species